AACUUUUGGCAAUGGAUCUCUUGGCUCUCGCAUCGAUGAAGGACGCAGCGAAAUGCGAUACGUAAUGUGAAUUGCAGAUUUAACAGAAUCAUCGAAUCUUUGAACGCACCUUGCACUCUUUUGUUAUUCAGAAGAGUAUGCCUGUUUGAGUGUCAUUGAAAUAUCAACCUUGGGUGGAUUUGCUUCCUCUCCGAUGGUUGGACUUUGGAGAGUGCUGGCGUCAGGUCGGCUCCUCUUAAAUGCAUCAGCGGAAAACUUUGACCUCUGGACGUCAGCGUGAUAAUCACGUUGCGCUGUCGACCGAGGUGUCAUCAUAAGGACCCGCUUCUAAUGGUCUUCGUCCGUGAAGAACGAUCUUUUAAUGCGAAUGGAUCAUUCGAUUAUCAUUCUUUUGACCUCAAAUCAGGCAGGAUUACCCGCUGAACUUAAGCAUAUCAAUAAGCGGAGGCU
rnacentral:misc_RNA from 1 species